rnacentral:rRNA from 1 species
GACGAACGCUGGCGGCGUGCCUAAUACAUGCAAGUCGAGCGAACGGACGAGAAGCUUGCUUCUCUGAUGUUAGCGGCGGACGGGUGAGUAACACGUGGAUAACCUACCUAUAAGACUGGGAUAACUUCGGGAGGCCGUAGCUAAUACCGGAUAAUAUUUUGAACCGCAUGGUUCAAAAGUGAAAGACGGUCUUGCUGUCACUUAUAGAUGGAUCCGCGCUGCAUUAGCUAGUUGGUAAGGUAACGGCUUACCAAGGCAACGAUGCAUAGCCGACCUGAGAGGGUGAUCGGCCACACUGGAACUGAGACACGGUCCAGACUCCUACGGGAGGCAGCAGUAGGGAAUCUUCCGCAAUGGGCGAAAGCCUGACGGAGCAACGCCGCGUGAGUGAUGAAGGUCUUCGGAUCGUAAAACUCUGUUAUUAGGGAAGAACAUAUGUGUAAGUAACUGUGCACAUCUUGACGGUACCUAAUCAGAAAGCCACGGCUAACUACGUG